AAAAAAGUGAUGGUUCAUUUAGGAUGAACUCAACGGGUCUUGUUGGGCACAGGUAAAGCAUCAACCCGUAAUCCUUCCACUGCCAGGGGCGGGAGGUAGUCGCUGCUCUGUGAAACCAGCCUCACGCAGUUCCCCCCGCUCUAGAAACCAUGAGACCCAGAGCCUUCGCCCAAGUCACAUGAAUCAACCCUUGGCUUGAAAUGGGCAGGCCAAUUAGUAGCCACCUCGCACCCGACCAGUUGAGUUGAACCACAGUACAAUCACCCUAGUGCCCCUGUACAGGUUACAGGCUCACGCUACUGAGCUCGGCAAUCAAUAGAUGAAUUAUGCCUAUUAUAAAGUAUAGUUUUUUCUUGUACUUGAGCGGUGUGGGACUGAUGUUUGUUUUCAUUUUGGGGUGCAAACUUCUCAUUUAACACCCCCUCCAUUUAAGUGAUUAGUUCUGAGAAGUUCUAGUCCUUGAUGGGUGGAGAUAUACAUCAAUUGUUUGUUUGAUAUCA